AACUUUUGGCAACGGAUCUCUUGGUUCUCGCAUCGAUGAAGAACGCAGCGAAAUGCGAUACGUAAUGUGAAUUGCAGAAUUCAGUGAAUCAUCGCAUCUUUGAACGCACAUUGCACUUCUUGGUAUUCCGAGGAGUAUGCCUGUUUCAGUAUCAUGAGCACUCUCACAGCUAACCUUUGUUGGUUACGAUUGUGGAAUUGGGAUGCGCCAGUUGUUAUGAUUGGCCCUCCUAAAAUGUAGCUCUUGACUGUGGACUAGUACAGUAGUUUGGCCUAAUAGUUUUGGCAGUUGUUUGUCAAAUCUUUGGCUACAUUUACUUUGGUCCAUGCAGUCUUGAUAUACAGAAAACUCUUUAAUUCAAAACUUUGAUCUGAAAUCAGGUAGGGCUACCCGCUGAACUUAAGCAUAUCAAUAAGCGGAGGCU
rnacentral:misc_RNA from 1 species